rnacentral:rRNA from 1 species
UCGAAGGGUGCAAGCGUUACUCGGAAUUACUGGGCGUAAAGCGUGCGUAGGUGGUGAGUUAAGUCUGUCGUGAAAGCCCCGGGCUCAACCUGGGAAUGGCGAUGGAUACUGGCUCGCUAGAGUGCGGUAGAGGAGAGUGGAAUUCCCGGUGUAGCAGUGAAAUGCGUAGAGAUCGGGAGGAACAUCAGUUGCGAAGGCGGCUCUCUGGACCAGCACUGACACUGAGGCACGAAAGCGUGGGGAGCAAACAGG